rnacentral:misc_RNA from 1 species
GAUGAAGAACGCAGCAAAAUGCGAUAAGUAAUGUGAAUUGCAGAAUUUAGUGAAUCAUCGAAUCUUUGAACGCACAUUGCGCCCGCCAGUAUUCUGGCGGGCAUGCCUGUUCGAGCGUCAUUUCAACCCUCAAGCACAGCUUGGUGUUGGGACUCGCGUUAAUUCGCGUUCCCCAAAUUGAUUGGCGGUCACGUCGAGCUUCCAUAGCGUAGUAGUAAAACCCUCGUUACUGGUAAUCGUCGCGGCCACGCCGUUAAACCCCAACUUCUGAAUGUUGACCUCGGAUCAGGUAGGAAUACCCGCUGAACUUAAGCAUAUCAAUAAGCGAGGA